UAGUCACAGAUAUUAUCCAUCUUCAAAAUCAGAAAUUGAGUACCUUUAAAGGAGACUAUGAUACGUUCGAAAGGACACGAGAUGAACAAAUUAAGAAUCAACAGAAGGCAUUCGAGGCGAAUGAACGUACAAGGGCCCACAUGCAGGUCUUUCUCAAUUAGAUUAAUUUUUAUUGAUAGACAAUUGCAAACAGAUUAAUUGCGACCUUAUUUGAAUAUUUCUUGUUUAGCUGUUUAAUACUUCGAUAAAUUUUUCGGCUUUAAUGUUUUGCAGACCUUUAUUGAUAAGUUCCGGUACAAUGCAAAGCGUGCAGCUCUUGUUCAAUCUAGAAUUAAGGUAUUCUUUUAUUUUACCAUAAGCUGCUCCUAUAUAUCUUGUCAGCUUUCAGUGGUUGUGGUUGUUUGCUCAAGUGAUUUAAUCAGUUGCCCGAUCUGAUUGUUUAAUAAUUUAAUUAGGUCUAGUUAUGAUGCCCUAGCAUGCCAUGAUCAGUAUCUGAAUGGUUUUGCUUGAAUUUAACAGGCAUUGGAGCGAAUUGGUCGUGUGGAUGAAGUCAUCAAUGAUCCCGAGUACGUAUUCAUUCCUUAACAGAUUGCUCCUAUAUUUUUUCUGUUACUUUAACUCUGAUGGUUUAACACGUUAUCACCUGAGCCUAUAAAAAUCCGAUCUCGGUCUUGUUACAUUUUUUAAUUAUAUGAACUCAUUUUGUUUUGCGUAUGCAGCUACAAGUUUGAGUUCCCUUCUCCUGAUGAUAGACCUGGUGCUCCUAUUAUAAACUUCAGGUUAAGCAUCUCUUAUUCCGUGUCUAAUAUAUUCUUUUGAAUCCCUUUGUCAGGUAGCAAAUCACCCUUAAUUAACUUCUUACUUUGUUGUAACAUAUGCAGUGAUGCAUCCUUUGGAUAUCCUGGGGGCCCAUUAUUGUUCAAAAAUUUGAAUUUUGGAAUAGAUCUGGAUAGCAGAGUAGCAAGUAAGACCUUGAUUACCUAACAAUCAACUAUUUUAAACUUUUGUUUUCUUAAUUGUUGCAAACCGCUGUACAUAGCCUCUGAUCAGUAAUAUGCCUCUCUAUAUUUGACGUUGAGUUUUUCUGUUGGGAAGUAAAAUUGGAUAUCUCUAUUUGUGAAUUAGGUAGUAUGUGUCUUAGGCAUGUGCAUCUUUAUAAUUGUUUCUUUUAAUCAUUUAUAUGUUCUACAGAGCCGUGGUUAGACCUGCGAUGUUGUAUGGGGCGGAGUGCUGGCCCGUGAAGAAUACCUGGUGAAGUGGCCGAAGACAUUUAUAGUUGUCUCUCAUGCUAGAGAGUUCUUGAAUACUGUACGGUUUUUCUUCUCUUACUUAAAACAAUAGUUGGGUUCAGUAUGUCUAGAGGUUGAUGUUUGUUCUGACAUCUCAUAAACCUAUCGUUGCUUCUUUCUUCAGGUAGUCACAGAUAUUAUCCAUCUUCAAAAUCAGAAAUUGAGUACCUAUAAAGGAGACUAUGAUACGUUCGAAAGGACACGAGAUGAACAAGUUAAGAAUCAACAGAAGGCAUUCGAGGCGAAUGAACGUACAAGGGCCCACAUGCAGGUCUUUCUCAAUUAGAUUAGUUUUUAUUGGUAGACUAUUGCAAACAGAUUAAUUGCGACCGUAUUUGCAUAUUUCUUAUUAAGCUG
rnacentral:lncRNA from 1 species